rnacentral:rRNA from 1 species
UAAGGAAUGUUGGUCAAUGGACGCAAGUCUGAACCAGCCAUGCCGCGUGAAGGAUGAAGGUCCUCUGGAUUGUAAACUUCUUUUAUCUGGGACGAAAACGGGAUUUUUAUCUCAAUUGACGGUACCAGAGGAAUAAGCACCGGCUAACUCCGUGCCAGCAGCCGCGGUAAUACGGAGGGUGCGAGCGUUAUCCGGAUUUACUGGGUUUAAAGGGUGCGUAGGUGGGCUUAUAAGUCAGUGGUGAAAUCUCCGAGCUUAACUUGGAAACUGCCGUUGAUACUAUAGGUCUUGAAUUAUCUGGAGGUAAGCGGAAUAUGUCAUGUAGCGGUGAAAUGCUUAGAUAUGACAUAGAACACCAAUUGCGAAGGCAGCUUACUACAUAUAAAUUGACGCUGAGGCACGAAAGCGUGGGGAUCAAACA